AUGGCACCGAAACUUCCGCUCACCCUCUGCAUUUUCGCCAUCUGGGCCAUUCACUUUACCUACGCUGCUUCAUCAUCACACCAUGCUCCAUCAUCCUCUGUUGACUGUUCAACCCUUGUUCUCACCAUGGCUGAUUGUUUAUCAUUUAUUACAAAUGACAGUACCAUAACCAAACCAGAAGGAACAUGCUGUUCUGGGUUGAAAUCUGUCUUGAAAACUGCUCCUUCUUGCCUAUGUGAAGCUUUCAAAAGCAGUGCUCAGUUUGGUGUUGUUUUGAAUGUUUCAAAAGCACUCACUAUCACCAUCCCAACUAUCAUCUCACCGUUACCGUAA